rnacentral:rRNA from 1 species
CCUACGGGAGGCAGCAGUGAGGAAUAUUGGUCAAUGGCCGGAAGGCUGAACCAGCCAUGCCGCGUGAAGGUCAGUGCCCUAUGGGCGUUAAACUUCUUUUGUGCGGGAGCAAUAAUGGUCACGUGUGGCCAGACGAGAGUACCGUACGAAUAAGCAUCGGCUAACUCCGUGCCAGCAGCCGCGGUAAUACGGGGGAUGCAAGCGUUAUCCGGAUUUAUUGGGUUUAAGGGGUGCGUAGGCUGUGAGGUAAGUCAGCGGGGAAAUGCCCCCGCUCAACGGGGUGAAGUGCCAUUGAUACUGCCUUGCUGGAAUGCGGAUGCCGUGGGAGGAAUGUGUGGUGUAGCGGUGAAAUGCAUAGAUAUCACACAGAACACCGAUUGCGAAGGCAUCUCACGAAUCCGCGAUUGACGCUGAUGCACGAAAGCGUGGGUAUCAAACAGGAUUAGAUACCCCGGUAGUC